UCGGAUAUGGUGUAACGGCUAACAUUGCCGCCUCUCAUGAAGACCGCGGCAGCUCGGGGUUCGAUUCCCCGUAUCCGAA